GACGAACGCUGGCGGCGUGCCUAAUACAUGCAAGUUGAGCGAUGAAGAUUGGUGCUUGCACCAAUUUGAAGAGCAGCGAACGGGUGAGUAACGCGUGGGGAAUCUGCCUUUGAGCGGGGGACAACAUUUGGAAACGAAUGCUAAUACCGCAUAACAACUUUAAACAUAAGUUUUAAGUUUGAAAGAUGCAAUUGCAUCACUCAAAGAUGAUCCCGCGUUGUAUUAGCUAGUUGGUGAGGUAAAGGCUCACCAAGGCGAUGAUACAUAGCCGACCUGAGAGGGUGAUCGGCCACGUUGGGACUGGGACACGGCCCAAACUCCUACGGGAGGCAGCAGUAGGGAAUCUUCGGCAAUGGCAGAAAGUCUGAACGAGCAACGCCGCGUGAGUGAAGAAGGUUUUCGGAUCGUAAAACUCUGUUGGUAGAGAAGAACGUUGGUGAGAGUGGAAAGCUCAUCAAGUGACGGUAACUACCCAGAAAGGGACGGCUAACUACGUG
rnacentral:rRNA from 1 species